AGUAACGGCGAGUGAAGCGGCAACAGCUCAAAUUUGAAAUCUGGCGCAAGCCCGAGUUGUAAUUUGUAGAGGAUGUUUCUGGCGACGUGCCUUCCGAGUUCCCUGGAACGGGACGCCAUAGAGGGUGAGAGCCCCGUACGGUUGGAUGCCUAGUCUCUGUGAAACUCCUUCGACGAGUCGAGUUGUUUGGGA
rnacentral:rRNA from 1 species